UGGGGAAUUUUGCACAAUGGGGGGAACCUUGAUGCAGCGACGCCGCGUGAGGGAUGGAGGCCUUCGGGUUGUGAACCUCUUUCGCUCGUGUGCAAGCCGCUAUUUGGGUAGUGGUGAGUGUAGCGGGUAAAGAAGCGCCGGCUAACUACGUGCCAGCAGCCGCGGUAAUACGUAGGGCGCGAGCGUUGUCCGGAUUUAUUGGGCGUAAAGGGCUUGUAGGCGGUUUGUCGCGCCUGUCGUGUAAUCCUCUGGCUUAACUGGGGGUGUGCGGUGGGUACGGGCAGGCUUGAGUGCGGUAGGGGAGAUUGGAAUUCCUGGUGUAGCGGUGGAAUGCGCAGAUAUCAGGAGGAACACCGGUGGCGAAGGCGGGUCUCUGGGCCGUUACUGACGCUGAAGAGCGAAAGCGUGGGGAGCGAACAGG
rnacentral:rRNA from 1 species